ensembl:lncRNA
GUGGUACACACAAGCCCAUCUAAGGGCUCCAUUUCAUGAACCGGACUUCUUUUUGAUGUGAAACAAAGGAUGUCCAGCUUCAGAGAGCUCUCCCGUGUGGGCUUCUGCAUGCCACGCAGCAGUUCCUGCACAGAACGAGAGCACACUACGUGGAUCAACCUUGCAGUGGCCUAUUUACCACUCUGUAACACACUGCCCUCCGUGUUUCUCCACCAGACACGACAUCAAGAAACCUGACCCUGAGCAGGCACCAAACCCAGGCUCCACGAAGGCUUCGCCUUGCUCAGUCCCAUCUCUGAUUUCCAUGGUGCAUCAGAAAAGAAGAGGAUGACUCCUUUGACCCCCCUGCUGUGUGUUCAUUUCAAUCAUCUGCUCUGGACUCUGCUGGGAGAGGGACGGUUCCACCCAGCCUGCCUGGCCCUGCGUCCCACUCAGCACCAGAGAAAAGCAGCUCAAAAAAUGUCAUGUGCUGGAAAGAAGAAGCAUAUGGAGCUUGAAGAUAUCCAUUGUCUCCAAAUCCUAUACUCAAAGAAUGACCCUUUGUUGCCCUGCACUCAUCACUGGGUAGCAUGGGCUGCUCAUGAGCCUUCCCUUUCGCCUAGGUUGCCAGUAUCAGUACUAUUGUGGGGAACUCAUCCACGCUAACAUAACUGGUCCUUGAAUGAUUUGUUUGCACCCCAGAUCAAUGCAGAAUGAUGAUCAUUCCAUCCAGAGAUGGCCCAAGGGCACGUGCUGCUGCCACACUGCCUAUGUGCUCUCACUCCCUGGUGUUACCGCUUCCCUCAACCAAAAUCUGUUUGAAAUAAACUGUAUAUUUUUUCUGGCAAAAAUAAAAAAUAAAGAAGUUCAGAUGCCACCAGAUGGAAAAUGCAACAGCCCUGAGUAAAGUGUUGGUUGUCCUCUAGUCUGAAUUUGCCAACAUACUGCUUCAAGCUCUGGAUCUCUUUCUGCAUUGUUACUCAGACCAAGAAAAUCGUUGCGUUUUAAUCCCCAGCAGGCUCUUAUAGACUGCUCAAAUUGCCCUUUCCCUACCUAUUUUUCAUCCAAAUGCAGCAUUUCCCUGCAUGCGCAC